rnacentral:rRNA from 1 species
UACGUAGGUGGCAAGCGUUGUCCGGAAUUAUUGGGCGUAAAGAGCGUGUAGGCGGCCCGGUAAGUCCGCUGUGAAAGUCGGGGGCUCAACCCUCGAAUGCCGGUGGAUACUGUCGGGCUAGAGUGCGGAAGAGGCGAGUGGAAUUCCUGGUGUAGCGGUGAAAUGCGCAGAUAUCAGGAGGAACACCAAUUGCGAAGGCAGCUCGCUGGGACGUAACUGACGCUGAGACGCGAAAGCGUGGGGAGCAAACAGG